UACAGAGGUCCCAAGCGUUGUUCGGAUUCAUUGGGCGUAAAGGGUGCGUAGGCGGCGCGGUAAGUCGGGUGUGAAAUCUCGGGGCUUAACUCCGAAACUGCAUUCGAUACUGCGGUGCUUGAGGACUGGAGAGGAGACUGGGAAUUCAUGGUGUAGCAGUGAAAUGCGUAGAGAUCAUGAGGAAGACCAGUGGCGAAGGCGGGUCUCUGGACAGUUCCUGACACUGAGACACGAAGGCCAGGGGAGCAAACGGG
rnacentral:rRNA from 1 species